ensembl:misc_RNA 7SK 7SK RNA
AUCUGGCUGUGACUUCUGUCACCCCAUUGCUCACCAGGGUUGAUUUGGUUCAUCUGGCUGAGUCAGUCUGAAGCCAU